rnacentral:rRNA from 1 species
UAAGACAGAGGGUGCAAGCGUUAUUCGGAAUUAUUGGGCGUAAAGGGCGCGUAGGCGGCUCGGUAAGUCGGAUGUGAAAUCCCAGAGCUUAACUUUGGAAGUGCAUCCGAAACUGCUGAACUAGAGUCUCGGAGAGGGUGGUAGAAUUCCCAGUGUAGAGGUGAAAUUCGUAGAUAUUGGGAGGAAUACCGGUGGCGAAGGCGACCACCUGGACGAAGACUGACGCUGAGGCGCGAGAGCGUGGGGAGCAAACAGGAUUAGAUACCCUGGUAGUCCACGCUGUAAACGAUGGAUACUAGGUGUUGUGGGUAUUGACCCCUACAGUGCCGAAGCUAACGCAUUAAGUAUCCCGCCUGGGAAGUACGGCCGCAAGGCUA